GCACUCUGGUUUCCCUUCAAAACCAAUCUUUCGCUUUUUAUUAAAUAUUUCCAUGGAGGAGAACAUUAAAUGAGUCUGUAAGAAAUUUUUCUUAGUGCUCAGCUAUUGCUGAGCC